rnacentral:rRNA from 1 species
GAUGAACGCUGGCGGCGUGCCUAAUACAUGCAAGUCGAGCGAACGGACGAGAAGCUUGCUUCUCUGAUGUUAGCGGCGGACGGGUGAGUAACACGUGGAUAACCUACCUAUAAGACUGGGAUAACUUCGGGAAACCGGAGCUAAUACCGGAUAAUAUUUUGAACCGCAUGGGUCAAAAGUGAAAGACGGUCUUGCUGUCACUUAUAGAUGGAUCCGCGCUGCAUUAGCUAGUUGGUAAGGUAACGGCUUACUAAGGCAACGAUGCAUAGCCGACGUGAGAGGGUGAUCGGCCACACUGGAACUGAGCCACGGUCCAGACUCCUACGGGAGGGAGCAGUAGGGUAUCUUACGCAAUGGGCGAAAGCCUGACGGAGCGACGCCGCGUGAGUGAUGAAGGUCUUCGGAUCGUAAAACUCUGUUAUUAGGGAAGAACAUAUGUGUAAGUAACUGUGCACAUCUUGACGGUAACUAAUCAGAAAGCCACGGCUAACUACGUG